UACAGAGGUCCCAAGCGUUGUUCGGAUUUACUGGGCGUAAAGGGUGCGUAGGCGGUUGGAUAAGUUUGAAGUGAAAGCUCCAAGCUUAACUUGGAAAAUGCUUCAUAUACUAUCUGACUAGAGGGCCGGAGAGGAGACUGGAAUUCUCGGUGUAGCAGUGAAAUGCGUAGAUAUCGAGAGGAACACCAGUGGCGAAAGCGAGUCUCUGGACGGCAUCUGACGCUGAGGCACGAAAGCCAAGGUAGCAAACGGG
rnacentral:rRNA from 1 species